rnacentral:misc_RNA from 1 species
UCCAGCUUAUCGCCGGCAGUCUCCCUAGAGUGCCCACCAUGACGUGAUGGCAACUAAGGACAAAGGUUGCGCUCGUUGCGGGACUUAACCCAACACUUCACAGCACGAGCUGACGACAGCCAUGCAGCACCUGUGUAAUUGUCUCUUGCGAGAAGAGCCACUUUCAUGACCUGUCAAAUACAUGUCAAGUCUGGGUAAGGUUCUUCGCGUAGCCUCGAAUUAAACCACAUGCUCCACCGCUUGUGCGGGUCCCCGUCAAUUUCUUUGAGUUUCAGUCUUGCGACCGUACUCCCCAGGUGGUGGAUUUAAUGAGUUAUCGUCGGCGCUGAGGGGAUCGAUACCCCCAACACCUAAUCCACAUCGUUUACGGCAAGGACUAC